rnacentral:misc_RNA from 1 species
AAGUCGUAACAAGGUUUCCGUAGGUGAACCUGCGGAAGGAUCAUUAAAGAGUUUUGAGGUUGAUGUAUGUGUAGUGUGUCAUACGUGUGCACAUUUUACGCGUCGUGUAAUGCGGGGAGAGUAGUAUGUGUUGCCGUAUGAUGACGCUCACAUCAUCAUGACCUUUGCGUAUGUUGUGUUUGCCUGUGUUAUCAUGUUAUCAUAUUAAUGAAAAGACAACUUUUAACAAUGGAUCUCUUGGUUCUC